rnacentral:lncRNA from 1 species
GCCCUACACUACAAGAGUAUCUUAUGCCUUCUCAAGUAUGUCAAUGAUAGAAAAAAAUUUUAAGCCACUGGCCAGGUGCAGUGGCACUUUUGGAGGCCGAGGCGGGAGAAUCGCUUGAGCCCAGGGGUUCCAGACCCCACUUUGGGUGAUGAUAAUGUAUCAGUGCAGGUUCAUCAACUGUUACCAAUGUACCCUCACGGUGGUGAUGUUGAUAAUGGGAGAGGUGGGUUAUGGGGAGCAGGGAAGCUCUGUACUUUCAUUUUUGCUGUGAACCUAAAACUGCUCUAAAAAAUAAAGACUAUUAAAAAAAAAAGAAUGCUAGCCUGGGCAACAUGGCAAAACCCCAUCUCUGGAACAAAAACAAAAAAAAAUGCAAAAAUUAGCUGGGUUUCAUGGCACACACCCAUAGUCCCAGCUACUCAGGAGGCUGAGGUUGGAGGAUGGCUUGAACCUGGGAGGCAUAGGUUGCAGCGAGCUGAGAUCGUGCCACUACACUCCAGUCUGGGUGACAGAGUGAGAUCCUGUCUCAAAGAAUACAAAUAAAUGAAUAAACAACAAGAAAAACUUGGACACAGGGCAUGACUGAGAAAAGGGAGUCAAGGAUGACUCACAGGCCGGGUGACUGGAAGAAGACUGGUGUUCCCAGAAUGGGGAAGUUGGAAAAGGGGGGCUGUUUUGAGAGGUAAGAAAGAAACUGGAACAUGUUAGGGUGCUGGGGACAUCCAGACGGGAGAGACAGUCUUUAGGUGUCUGGAGAGCAGCUUGGGGCUGAGAUAAGGAAAGGAUACAGGGAUGCAGAUGAGAGAAAAAAAUUCAACAUUUAAUGUUCUGCUUUUAAACAGAGAGAGAAAUUCUCUUUUCUAAAGGAAAAGCAUCACGACUCACUGGAAAUAACCCUCUUUCCUUCACGGUGCCUCUGUCAUGAAGAUCCACUGCUGAGGAGCAGUUUAGAGGGGAAUGCCCCCCUAAAGUGAGCAGGAUGAGCACAGUGAGUGGUAAAAGU